CAUUAGUUAGCUUAAAUAUAAAGCAUUGAUUUUUUAAGUCAAUUAUAAAUUUUAUUUACUAAUGA
rnacentral:tRNA from 1 species